CCUACGGGAGGCAGCAGUGAGGAAUAUUGGUCAAUGGGCGGAAGCCUGAACCAGCCAAGUAGCGUGCGGGAUGAAGGCCCUACGGGUCGUAAACCGCUUUUGCACGGGGAUAACACCCUCCACUUGUGUAGGUCCGUAGGUACCGUGCGAAUAAGGGCCGGCGAAUACCGUGCCAGCAGCCGCGGUAAUACGGGAGGCCGGAGCGUUAUCCGGAUUAGUUGGGCUUAAGGGGAGCGUAGGCGGGCGGUCAAGUCAGCGGGAACAUAUCGCGGCUCAACCGCGCCCCGCAGUUGAAACUGGACGGCUUGAGUUCACAACAGGCAGGCGGAAUUCGUGGUGUAGCGGUGAAAUGCAUAGAUAUCACGAGGAACCCCGAUUGCGAAGGCAGCCUGCCGGGGUGCGACUGACGCUGAGGCUCGAAGGUGCGGGUAUCAAACAGGAUUAGAUACCCGAGUAGUC
rnacentral:rRNA from 1 species